rnacentral:rRNA from 1 species
UACGAAGGGGGCUAGCGUUGUUCGGAUUAACUGGGCGUAAAGCGCGCGUAGGCGGGUUUUAAGUCAGGGGUGAAAUCCCAAGGCUCAACCUUGGAACUGCCUUUGAUACUGGAAAUCUUGAGUCCGGGAGAGGUGAGUGGAACUGCGAGUGUAGAGGUGAAAUUCGUAGAUAUUCGCAAGAACACCAGUGGCGAAGGCGGCUCACCUGGGUCAUUACUGACGCUGAGGCACGAAAGCGUGGGGAGCAA